rnacentral:rRNA from 1 species
CAGUAGCCGCGGUAAGACAGAGGAUGCAAGCGUUAUCCGGAAUGAUUGGGCGUAAAGCGUCUGUAGGUGGCUUUUUAAGUCCGCCGCCAAAUCCCAGGGCUCAACCCUGGACAGGCGGUGGAAACUACCAAGCUGGAGUACGGUAGGGGCAGGGGGAAUUUCCGGUGGAGCGGUGAAAUGCGUUGAGAUCGGAAAAAACACCAACGGCGAAAGCACUCUGCUGGGCCGACACUGACACUGAGAGACGAAAGCUAGGGGAGCAAAUGGGAUUAGAUACCCGCGUAGUCCCUGUCUCUUAUAC